rnacentral:rRNA from 1 species
UAGAAUGAACCGGCGAGUUACGAUUUGUUGCAAGGUUAAGCGGAAAAAGCGGAGCCGUAGCGAAAGCGAGUCUGAAUAGGGCGCAUAAGUAACAGGUCGUAGACCCGAAACCAGGUGAUCUACCCAUGUCCAGGAUGAAGGUAAGGUAAUACUUACUGGAGGUCCGAACCCACGCACGUUGAAAAGUGCGGGGAUGAGGUGUGGGUAGCGGAGAAAUUCCAAUCGAACUUGGAGAUAGCUGGUUCUCUCCGAAAUAGCUUUAGGGCUAGCCUCGAGGUAAAGAGUCAUGGAGGUAGAGCACUGUUUGGACUA